rnacentral:lncRNA from 1 species
UCCAGUUAAUGUUCGACGAGAAGAAGUAUGACGUCAGCGAGUUGGACGAGUCAGUCAACGAGUUGGACUUCCCGUGUUUGACUCGUCCUUAUCCCGUGAAAUGUCUUCCUUAUCUCUUCACCUCUAAGCAGUGGCUUCCCUUCUUUUUUGACCAAGCGAGAAACUUCCGAAAGAUGAAGGGUAUUUUAGUAAAUACCGUUGCUGAGCUGGAGCCUCACUCUUUGAAAAUAUUCUCCCGCGGCGGUUAUGGUGGUGACGACCUUCCUCAAGCGUAUCCAGUGGGACCACUGUUGCAUCUCCAAAACGACGUCGUAGAAGGGAAGCAAUCGGAGGUUUUACGGUGGCUCGACGAGCAACCGGCGAGAUCCGUCGUGUUCCUCUGUUUCGGGAGCAUGGGAGGUUUCAACGAGGAGCAAACGAGAGAAAUCGCCGUCGCGUUGGAACGAAGCGGCUACCGGUUUCUCUGGUCUCUCCGCCGCGGAUCGCCGGAUAUACUGACGGAGCCUCCCGGAGAUUACGCGGAUCUGGAGGAAGUUUUACCGGAGGGAUUCUCGGAUCGGACGUCGGAGAGAGGGAAGGUGAUCGGAUGGGCUCCGCAAGUGGCGGUGCUGGCUAAGCCGGCGAUCGGGAGCUUCGUGACCCACUGUGGAUGGAACUCGAUGCUUGAGAGCUUGUGGUUCGGCGUUCCGAUGGUGACGUGGCCGCUCUACGCGGAGCAGAAGAUCAACGCGUUCGAGAUGGUGGAGGAGCUUGGACUGGCGGUGGAGAUACGGAGGUUCUUUANNNNNNNNNNNNNNNNNNNNNNNNNNNNNNNNNNNNNNNNNNNNNNNNNNNNNNNNNNNNNNNNNNNNNNNNNNNNNNNNNNNNNNNNNNNNNNNNNNNNNNNNNNNNNNNNNNNNNNNNNNNNNNNNNNNNNNNNNNNNNNNNNNNNNNNNNNNNNNNNNNNNNNNNNNNNNNNNNNNNNNNNNNNNNNNNNNNNNNNNNNNNNNNNNNNNNNNNNNNNNNNGGUAUCCAGGGUGGUUUCUGAGUGGUUAAUCCACAAAGGCGCGUCCAAGGUGUAGGAUUCGUUGUGUGUCGGCUCCUCCGCUUUGACGAUGGCGCGUGUUGUUCAAUGCACGGUGUCGGUGAUGAGUCGUCUAUGGCUAUGUUAUCCUGCCGUGACAGAGAUGCUUCCGCCUUGAUCUUCUCCGGUCAUGGCUCUCCCGUCACACUCUCACGGUUGAUUCUUUCGCGGAGGCUCACCGUUUCUGAGUUGUACUUUAGUCACGUCUUAUGGAGUUAUAGCUUUGCUCGUGCAAGCUUAUCUCCUGUCUGGAUCGAUCUUGUCACUGGUUCUCAGUGACGGUUCCUGAGGAGACCUGUUCUAUACUGGUGUGUCAUUCGGUUUGGUCUGGUCUCGGUGGCCUGAGGAGUAGUUUCCAACAUCCCAGCACUAGAGUGAGUCUCUGGUGGUUGCGGACUGCUCGGUCCCGGUGUGUCAAAGUGCUACGUUUCGUGGAGUAGCUGCCGCUAUUCAACCCGCUUUCCCUUUUGCUCUUGGUAGUGACGGGUUCGGUUACCCGGUCACUUUUCGGAUCUUUGGUUGUAUUGUCUUAGGAAUUCGCUGGGUUCGUGUCGUGAAGCGUCGUCGGUUUCUGCUGGGUUCGUGCUAAGGAUGGGUGUCGUCAGUCUCUGUUGAGUUCGUGUGGCGAGUCUUUCCGGUCUUUCGGUUUGUAUUCAAAGCGUCGUCGGGAGUUUAGGGUUCGUACCUUGAAGCGUCGUCGGGAGACUAGGGUUCGUGCUAAAUGGCGUGGUCGGUUUUCCUACCCGCCUUGGCGGAAGUUAGAUCAGAAAUUGUAGUUUUAAAAUUUGUUUCAGAUUUUAAUUCUACCGAUCUGUUCCAUAAGUCUUUUUACACUUUUUUUGGGGGCUUAUGCAACUUUGUAGUUUCAUUUUAACUAAUGAAUAUUUACCAUUUAGCAAAAAAAAAGAAAAAUAGUUAGCUAUCAGCAUAUGAUCGUUUCGGUUAACAACACUCGUACAUAUGUGCUCAAUUUUUAAAGACGAACUCUACAUCAUCAAUUGGGAUUGCCAAUCGAUAGGUUAGUGACAACUUUGAUUAUUACAUGCCAAUGGAAAAUUGCAGGGUAUUAUAUGCUUGGUGUUUUGGUUAACGUACACUAAUAACAUCAACAAUACUUUAUCUCUUACUCGUAUUGUUUGAUAUAUAUACUUUUAAGCGUUACACAUAAUAUUAUCUGUUAAGUUUGUAAUAUCAAGGGUAUAAAUUAUCAAUUUUCAUUUCAUGUAUUAGAAAGGGGUUAUUAUUAUUAGCAGCUACCUGGCAUCGUACAUGUUACUUCGGGUAGAAGCAGCCAUAAAUACGCUUACCUCCAACCGAUAACAUCAACAAUGCUUUAUCUCUCAAUCGUAUUGUUUGAUAUAUACUUUUAACCUAAGCGUUAAAAAUAAUAUCAUCAGUUAAGUUUGUACUUAGUUACUAAUAUCAAGGGUAUAAUUUACUAAACUUCAUUUUUCAUGUAUUAGAAAGAGGUGAUUAUUAGUAGCAGCUACCAUACAUCGUACAUGUUACUUCAGCCAUAAGCCUCCACAAAUACAAUUACCCCCUACCAACUUUACUUUAAAGAUAGUCUAGACUAUUAGAAAAAAAUGAAUGUUAAUAACACAAACAAAAUUAGAUAGAUAGUAGAGAUUUUGAAACAUUGCUAACUGGUUACUCCGCAAAAAAGGAACCAGAUCUCGUAUUUUCUCUUCACUAUGAGCAUACAGACCACGACGAACUGGCCAAAACACCCAGAAGAUGAAGCAUUUUUGGCUUGAGAUAUGAUCUUCCGUCCGAAUCUAGAGCGUCGGAUUAACCCUAUAGCGGCGGAUUCUUCACCGACAGCAAACAUGCGUUUCGGCAGCUGCAAAUACUCCAUAUCGCAGACGGAUAAACUUCCAAUACCACUCCGGGGAAGAUAAAUAGAUAUUUCUUUGGUUUAUGAAAGUAGACAACUGAAAGGGAGUGACUUUUCACUGAACAAAUAAACUUAAAAAACUGUAAUUGAUGCCUUUCUAUUUGCCCUCGACAUCUUUAACUAGUACUAGUGUAGUACAUAUAAUGGCGUGUAAUAAGUGGUUCCCUAUAUACUAGACUCUGACACAAUCUAUUAGAGCAAGAUAGCGUGGCCUUAGGUAUGUAGGGGUCGUUUCGUACUAAAAAAAAUCUAACAGUGCUUUCCACUUUCAACUUUCUCUGUGUAUAUACCACCUAAUUUCUCUAAUUUUUAUGCGCUUUUCCCUAUAUUUAUGUAUAUAGUUAUACUAUUAUAGUCUAAAUGGUAAUCACAAUAGCUUCAGCUUUUGAAGUAUUUGGAUUUAGUAUUGAAUAAUAUUGCACUAUUAGAGUUAAACAAGUUAUUUAAAUUUUGAAUUUCAUUACGAACUUUGAAUAAUGAGAAAAAUAGUACAUGCAUGUUUAUGAAUUAAGUGAGAAAAAUAGUAUAUGCAUGUUUUAUGAAUUAAACGUUGUUUGAUCCUACUGUCAUGAACGCUUGAUCAUUUAGCAUUUUGUUUGGUCUUAAUUUAUACAAAUAGACUAGAGUGGAAUGAUACUGAUGAAGGCCACAGUAAUCUACAGCUUUAAUUCAAUCUAAUGCACCUUUGAUCACUAUCUCAAGAACUUCAUCAUUUUCAAAGCCCAAUAGCAAAAACAAACAUUGCUAGAGUCUGUAAUUUUGUCCAGCCUUACUAUAGUAUGUAACUGUGCUACGCCUUCUUAACACUCAUGGCAUCAAAUAUAUAAUAAACUUGGUAAAAUAGCGCUUCAGUGUGUGUAACAAAUUCAGAUCAUUGAUCAAUAAACCUCACUGAAAUCCGCUAAGAUUAUUGUUUUAUCAUCAUAAGCUUUUAAAUUAGCUAUUUAAAGCCAAGACAAGAACAAGAAUAACAAUUAAAAUAUAUAAUCGAUCAAAAGACUAAAUAUAUAAGAUAAAAGGGUAUACUCAGACAGCCAAGGGUUACUCUUCAACUUCUGGGUGAAGUGCCCAGAUCUGAAACUCUAGUCCACAACAUAAUUGUAUCAUCACCAUAUACCAUUCAACAUUCAAUCAACACAAAAAUUCUCAAGCUCUAUUAAAAUAGAGAUACAAGCAAGACCAGAGCUUGAAAGAAUGAGAUUAACAGAAAAGAAACCAGUUACCAUAAUGGUCUCACAUUAAUAUCUGAAUUACAAUAAUGGCACCAACCACAGCCUCGACAGAAACUCGUUCAGGAGUUAAAAAAGGUUAAGAUGUUUGGGAUGUCACAUACAAAGGAACAUUAAAAAUACAAUAUGCGAGGCAUUUCCAGGAUCAAAAGGCACUGAGAAAAAGCAAGAUGAUCAGGAUAUACCACAAAACUAUUGCGUCACAAGCCAUUAUACCUGAAGAAACUGUAUUUAUCCCUCAGAAUUGGUAAUGGACGCCAACAAAAAAAAAGAAAAAAACACUGAAAGUUUAAUAUGCUCAGUGGAAGGAGAAGUCGUUUAAUUAGGAAAGCUCACGGCAAGAACAAACCCUUUUCAGAAUUUGUAAUUGUCCACUGCUCUUCUUACACUCUUCGUGCUUUUAUCACAUCAUAGCAUCAAAACAUAAACCUCAUAUUAAAAAGCCUCAGUGUGUGUAACAAAUUCAGAUCAUUGAUCAAUUAACCUCACUGAAAUCCGCUAAGAUAUUUGUUUUUAUCAUCAUAAGCUUUUUACAGAGGCCCACACAGAACAUAAAACAAAAAGAUUGUCUUUUUAAGAUCAAUUACAAAAUUAUAUUUUAUAAGUACCGGUGUAAAAGGGAAUACUCAGACAGCCAAGGGUUACUCUUCAACUUCUGGGUGAAGUGCCCAGAUCUGAAACUCUAGUCCACAACAUUAUUGUAACAUCACCAUAUACCCUUUCACAAAAACAUAAGACAAAAAAAAUGAAAAAAAUCAGAGAAACAAGAAGAGAGAAAGCUCAUAUGAUUUGCAGAAGACAAAAAGCAGAUAAAUAUACACAACCAAAAACUGAGAAAUAGGGCUCCCUUCGGCGGCGGCUGUAAUUUAUUUUAGCCUUUUCUUGGCCCAUUUAGUUUCAUUGCGCCAGUCUUUCGUGACCCAACAAACAACUUAAAUCACUGUAUAAGCGCGCGCACAAGACCUUUCCUUACCAUUUCUGGCUAAACCAGUCAACGCUGAAAAAGACAAAUCCCAAAAAAGGAAAGAAAAUAUAAAACAAAUAAAAUGAAAAUCGAACUUGUGUUCAUACCCGCGGCGGAAAUUGGUCAUCUCCGGUCAACCGUCGAGUUAGCCAAGAAACUCCUCAACGAAGAUGAUCGUCUCUCAAUCACCGUACUCAUCAUCCCUCGCCCUUCCGCCGAUGAUUCCGACCAUGUUACACCCCUCUUCACGCCGUCUCAAGACCGCCUCCGCCACGUCACCAUCUCCGCCGCAGAUCAACCACCCGACGUUCCUCUCGAUCCUCAAGCCUACAUGGACAACCAAAAGCCGAAAGUGAGAGACGCAGUCUCCAAACUCCUCGACUCGCCGCCGCGGCUCGCCGGAUUAGUCGUCGACAUGUUCUGCACGUCGAUGAUAGAAGUAGCUGAAGAAUUCAAAGUUCCCACAUAUAUGAUGUACACGUCAAACGCUGCGUUUCUCGGAAUCACGCUUCAUCUCCAGUUAAUGUUCGACGAGAAGAAGUAUGACGUCAGCGAGUUGGACGAGUCAGUCAACGAGUUGGACUUCCCGUGUUUGACUCGUCCUUAUCCCGUGAAAUGUCUUCCUUAUCUCUUCACCUCUAAGCAGUGGCUUCCCUUCUUUUUUGACCAAGCGAGAAACUUCCGAAAGAUGAAGGGUAUUUUAGUAAAUACCGUUGCUGAGCUGGAGCCUCACUCUUUGAAAAUAUUCUCCCGC